rnacentral:rRNA from 1 species
UACGGAGGGGGCUAGCGUUGUUCGGAAUUACUGGGCGUAAAGCGCACGUAGGCGGCUUUGCAAGUCAGAGGUGAAAGCCCGGGGCUCAACCCCGGAAUUGCCUUUGAGACUGCAUCGCUAGAAUUGUGGAGAGGUAAGUGGAAUUCCGAGUGUAGAGGUGAAAUUCGUGAGAUAUUCGGAAGAACACCAGUGGCGAAGGCGACUUACUGGACACAUAUUGACGCUGAGGUGCGAAAGCGUGGGGAGCAAACAGG